rnacentral:rRNA from 1 species
UACAGAGGUCCCAAGCGUUGUUCGGAUUCACUGGGCUUAAAGGGUGCGUAGGCGGCGCUGAAAGUUGGGUGUGAAAUCCCUCGGCUCAACCGAGGAACUGCAUUCAAAACUACAGUGCUUGAGGGAGAUAGAGGUGAGCGGAACUUAGGGUGGAGCGGUGAAAUGCGUUGAUAUCCUAAGGAACACCCGUGGCGAAAGCGGCUCACUGGGUCUCUUCUGACGCUGAGGCACGAAAGCUAGGGGAGCGAACGGG